rnacentral:rRNA from 1 species
AGUGAACGCUGGCGGUAGGCCUAACACAUGCAAGUCGAACGGCAGCACAGUAAGAGCUUGCUCUUACGGGUGGCGAGUGGCGGACGGGUGAGGAAUACAUCGGAAUCUACUUUUUCGUGGGUGAUAACGUAGGGAAACUUACGCUAAUACCGCAUACGACCUACGGGUGAAAGCAGGGGAUCUUCGGACCUUGCGCGAUUGAAUGAGCCGAUGUCGGAUUAGCUCGUUGGCGGGGUAAAGUCCCACCAAGGCGACGAUCCGUAGCUGGUCUGAGAGGAUGAUCAGCCACACUGGAACUGAGACACGGUCCAGACUCCUACGGGAGGCAGCAGUGGGAAAUAUUGGACAAUGGGCGCAAGCCUGAUCCAGCCAUACCGCGUGGGUGAAGAAGGCCUUCGGGUUGUAAAGCCCUUUUGUUGGGAAAGAAAAGCAGCAGGUUAAUACCCCGCUGUUCUGACGGUACCCAAAGAAUAAGCACGGGCAAACUUCGU